AGAGUUUGAUCAUGGCUCAGGACGAACGCUGGCGGCGCGCCUAACACAUGCAAGUCGAACGAGAGAGAAGGAGCUUGCUUCUUCGAUCGAGUGGCGAACGGGUGAGUAACGCGUGAGGAACCUGCCUCAAAGAGGGGGACAACAGUUGGAAACGACUGCUAAUACCGCAUAAGCCCACGGGUCGGCAUCGAUCUGAGGGAAAAGGAGCAAUCCGCUUUGAGAUGGCCUCGCGUCCGAUUAGCUAGUUGGUGAGGUAACGGCCCACCAAGGCGACGAUCGGUAGCCGGACUGAGAGGUUGAACGGCCACAUUGGGACUGAGACACGGCCCAGACUCCUACGGGAGGCAACA
rnacentral:rRNA from 1 species